UUGGGGUUCGGGCAGCAACCAUGGCCAGGGUGGGGGGCAUCGUAGCCCCCUAGUGAAGAUGUGGAGGAGUAAUUACCACCUUCCUGCCCCCCGCCGUCUAUGGGGUGGCCCCCAUCGCUGCGGCCGUGGCUGCCGGGUUCCUACCGGAGACCCUCAAUACUCCCUCCCGAUACUAUAGAGGAGGUGGAGAAUAGGGCCAAAGACAAGAAGACCCCCAACCCCAAAGAGAAGAUCCCCCUCCACCCCCAGGACACGGCGCUGAAGGAGCCCUGAAGGACCCCAGCGGGGACCCCAACCCACCCCACAACAACCCCAUAUUUCACCCCCAAACCCCCCCACUAUGGGGCCCUGCAGCCCCACUUGUGGGUCAACCCCGAAUUCACCGCGUGCCCCACAUCUCGAGGCUUCCCUCUAUGGGGCCGGGGAAGUCUUGGGUGAAAUAAAGAGAUCUAUAGGGAGAAACGG